rnacentral:snoRNA from 1 species
CACUUCUUGAUGUUUCUUACUAAAAAUGUAUGAACAUAAGAACUCUAUAGUGAUUUUACUGUAUUACUGAGAUAAGCC